rfam:Gorilla gorilla gorilla genomic chromosome, chr1, whole genome shotgun sequence
UUAACUACUGUGUCAGUAUUAAUCAGUUAGCACUAAUACAUUAGUGUUCUUAUGUACUUCGUGCAUUACUGCUAGUACCCAUGAAUAAUAUAUA